UUUGUAUCAGACAAGCCACUAUAUAUUUAUAUAUUUUAAAUAAGAGUUUUUUUCUUACUUUUGUCUAAUAAAUUAACUUUAUAUGGUCUCAACAGGAGCACACAUUUCUUUGUGCAUAGUAUCAUGAUCAAGAGACCUUCUAAAAUGGAUCGUAUUGUAGAACAUUUUAAUGUUGUGUUUCUUCAUUUUGUUAUAGUGCUGCGAAAAAUUAAAAUGGAAAAGAAAACCGAAGAACUGGAUCAUGAAAGAACUGAAUGAAGCUGAGCUGCAUCAUGAAGAAAGACAGGAAUGAGUUAUAUACACCAGUCUCUGCCUCAGUGGCCAGGAUCUUUAUGGCUGCUGAUUCUUUGGCUCUGGGUUCAUCUGCCGAACAUCAUGGAUCUGUUGCUAAAAGUAGACAUUUUCUUUUCCAUUCUACAAUUGAGACUCAGAUGCCGAAGGAGAGAGAGAGAGAGAAUCUUUUCAGCACUGUUGUUGUGCCAUUAAAAGUCUUGGACUUUAAAUGCAAAAAGUGAUUGGGGAAAAUAUCUUCUUUCCCACCUGCUAACUGUACAGUAUGAAGAAUAUUUUUUGAAAGUUCAAAUGUGGUUCAACCGACUCGGGACCAAGAAUGACAAGUUAGCUCAAAGUCAAUGUGUUCUGCAGUUUAGGAUGUGGAAAGUAAAUCUGCAUUCAAAAGUCAGGUGUUUUUUCAUAUUAGUCGAGAGAUACAUAUUCAAUAAAGGAAAGAGGGGAAGAACAUAAAUGAUACCCAAAGGGCAUUCUUGGUCUAGAAUAGCUUUAAAGUGCAGAAGGUUUUAGGGCCCACUGUAAAUAUGGUAGUGAAGAUAUAAUGCUGAACUGUUUAAUCUUUGUCUAAGCCACUGGGAAAAAUAGGAGAGUGUUUAAAAGUCUGUUUGAAACAGAUGUAACCUGUUUUUAGCUUCCUGAUCUUACUUCUUUUGCAUGCACAACUUUGAUAGCCUUUAUAAAUGGGAGGGUUUAUUAAAUAAAUAAAUAAAUUUCAAAAGUAUCUUGCUCAUGCAACUGAAGGUCUGUUUUGUAAGUGUUAGUGGUGCCUCUUUUUGUUAUAUCUUCCGAAAUUACUGAAAGAGAUGCUUUCUAAAACAACAACAAAGCCCAAUCUGAUUAAUUGAAGAAGAAUUCGACUGGAUCUUAUCGGACUUUUCCUAGUCCCUGAGACCCUAACUUGUGAGGUUUUUUAGUAACAAUCACAAGUCAGGCUCUUGGGACCUAGGCGGAGGGGAACCAGCAACUUUGGACUUUAUUGAUUAACUUUCUACGAUAUUAGCAGCAUAAAAAAGAUAUAUUUGUCGCUGGGGGAGAAAUGUGAUGUUUUGGCCCACAGAGAAAUGCAUUGUGCAGAAUAGAGAUGGUAACGUGCUGUGUUACAGGUUCAUAUAUUCAAACAGCUGUACUGUACUCUUUAAUGUUUUGAAUUAAUGUUGGGCCUUCAUUCAAGUGCUGGAGAAUAAAGCAUCCCUGUGUUUAGAUAAUGAAA